rnacentral:lncRNA from 1 species
UUUUCCCAUUCAGUCAGUAUUAGGGUUUUAAACCCUAAACUGAACAUUUUCCAUUCAGUCAGCAUUAGGGUUUUAAACCCUAAACUAAACUCUUUCCAGCCAGUCAGUAUUAGGGUUUUAAACCCUAAACUGAACUUUCCCUUUAGACAGCAUUAGGGUUUUAAACCCUAAACUAAACUCUUUCCUUCAGUCAGCAUUAGGGUUUUAAACCAUAAACUGAACUUUUUCCAUUCAGUCAGCAUUAGGGUUUUAAACCCUAAACUGAACUCUUUCCUUUAGUCAGCAUUAGGGUUUUAAACCCUAAACUGAACUUUUUCCAUUCAGUCAGCAUUAGGGUUUUAAACCCUAAACUGAACUUUUUCCAUUCAGUCAGCAUUAGGGUUUUAAACCCUAAACUGAACUCUUUCCAGCCAGUCAGUAUUAGGGUUUUAAACCCUAAACUGAACUUUCCCUUUAGUCAGCAUUAGGGUUUUAAACCCUAAACUGAACUUUCCCUUUAGUCAGAGUCAGCAUUAGGGUUUUAAACCCUAAACUGAACUUUUUCCCAUUCAGUCAGUAUUAGGGUUUUAAACCCUAAACUGAACUUUUUCCAUUCAGUCAGCAUUAGGGUUUUAAACCCUAAACUAAACUCUUUUCCAUUCAGUCAGCAUUAGGGUUUUAAACCCUAAACUAAACUUUUUCCUGUAGUCAGAGUCAGCAUUAGGGUUUUAAACCCUAAACUAAACUCUUUCCAGCCAGUCAGUAUUAGGGUUUUAAACCCUAAACUGAACUUUUUCCUGUAGUCAGUCAGCAUUAGGGUUUUAAACCCUAAACUGAACUCUUUCCAGCGAGUCAGUAUUAGGGUUUUAAACCCUAAACUGAACUUUCCCUUUAGUCAGCAUUAGGGUUUUAAACCCUAAACUAAACUCUUUCCUUCAGUCAACAUUAGGGUUUUAAACCCUA